UAAAAGGUCUUUAUAUAUAAAUAGCUAAAUUGAGAAUUUGAGAUCUAAAAACCCCGACUCCAUCUGCCGGCCGUACUCAAGAGCAACCAUGACCUAGGGCAGAAACUGUUCAAUUUUUCAGGUUUCAAAUUAUGGAUCCACUUCCAGGAAGGAGCAGGGAUUUGCUUAAGAAUCAUAAGCAGCUGUGUCUUCGUUCAUUUCUAGGUUCAGAGAUUUGAAGGAUUGGCUCCGUCUGCUUUAUUAUUGCAGUGUUCCAAUAGAAGAAGAACAAGAAGAGGAGUGAUAGAUUUCAGUUUGGUUUGAAAAGUUCAAUUACUUACGAGGACUAUGUUGCCUGUUUUGCUUGAUUCACGCUGCCCAUUUCAGAAGCGUAUGCCUUUGUGAUGGGGGAUAACCGCAACAACAGUUGACUCUCAUAACUGAACAAGGUGAAAGCUGCCAAUGAAUUUCAAAUCUUGGGAUAUCAAGGUCUCCAUAUGUUCAUUUUUCGUCUGUUUCUUACUCAUUGUAGACAACUAGACAUGCAUUAAGCGAUUAUGAUUUUGUUCAGAGUGUUCAACCCAUAGAAAUAUUUAAUGAUGCAUUUAGGAAAUUUCUUGCACACUCAAUAAGAAGACAGCCAAAAGCUCCUGAGGUAUGCAACCCUUACACUCUUUGUGCUGGAUUUAUUUUAGUAUUGGUUGUGUACAAGUCACUUGCAGUUUAAUCUUUUUGAACUGUCAGGAGGAUUCAGAGGUUGGUAAUAGGUGUUAAAAAGAUGUUUGUCUCAUGCAAAUGAGACAUGUAGCAUAUAUACUUGCUUUCAAGGUUUGCUGACUGUGGUGCAGAAGGACUUUAGACUUCUACAUUAUCAACAGUUGCAUUUCGAUGAUUGUGGAGAUCGUGUUUCUCAGUUGUUACAUGUUGAAUUAGCUGCCCCAGCUUUACACUUUCAAAACAAUGAUAUUCUAGAAGACCUCAUUAUUCAAAUUUGUGUAUAGUAAUUAGCUAAAGUACCAGAUUUUGGAUCAUGUAAAACAAUGUUUGAUGUGUAUGUACAACGCAUUUAUAUAGUGUACCUAAUAUUUGUAAAUUCAAUACUGUUGAAUUCAAUAAUGUCCAUGAUAUAUCUUGCUAUA